ensembl:lncRNA
GUGCAUAUUUAUGUUGUCCCUUCCAUGUUCUGAGCAUUGUGCUGGGCGGUAUUGAGGAAAACAGAAGGGCAGUGGGUAAGGCGUGAUGUCUGGUGGGUAAGGAUGGCCGUAUGACCUGCUCUGACUAACAGGAUGUGGCUGAAAUGACUGCAUUUCUGAGGCUGGGGCCCAAGAGUUCUGUGGCUUUCACUUUCUCUGCUUGGCAUACAGCCUCUUGGAAGUCAGGAUCCAUGUGAGAAGUGUGAUGACCCCUAGACUUGGGACUAGCACACUGCAAGGAAGCCCCAGCCACCCAUGUGGUCACCAGGAGGCCCUGAGGUGCCAGGCGUGUGUC